GACGAACGCUGGCGGCGUGCUUAACACAUGCAAGUCGAACGGAAAGGCCCUGCUUUUGUGGGGUGCUCGAGUGGCGAACGGGUGAGUAACACGUGAGUAACCUGCCCUUGACUUUGGGAUAACUUCAGGAAACCGGGGCUAAUACCGGAUAGGAGCUCCUGCUGCAUGGUGGGGGUUGGAAAGUUUCGGCGGUUGGGGAUGGACUCGCGGCUUAUCAGCUUGUUGGUGGGGUAGUGGCUUACCAAGGCUUUGACGGGUAGCCGGCCUGAGAGGGUGACCGGCCACAUUGGGACUGAGAUACGGCCCAGACUCCUACGGGAGGCAGCGGUGGGGAAUAUUGCACAAUGAGCCGAAGCCUGAUGCAGCAACGCCGCGUGCGGGAUGACGGCCUUCGGGUUGUAAACCGCUUUCGCCUGUGACGAAGCGUGAGUGACGGUAAUGGGUAAAGAAGCACCGGCUAACUACGUG
rnacentral:rRNA from 1 species